ensembl:lncRNA
CUGCGUCCCAAACCGCAUACUUGCCUACUAUAGGCCUGUAGUGGGGAAAAAUACAUGUAUCUCGGCUACUAUAUAGACGGUAAGUACACGGUUUGAGACUAUUGACUCUAUUUGCUAAUAUACUUUGUCUAUUAGCACGUACAGCCUGACAAAUAAUUAACUGCACUUAAAGCGUUCAUAAAAAAAUUAAAUAAAAAUACCCAAAACUGUAUACAGUACCAUAACGAAGACGAACUGUAUGUUGAUAUGUGAAAUUCUGGAUAGACGUCGGACGGCGUGGCGCAGUGACGUAAUGACGCGGGCUGUUAAUCUAAUUAUGUUCUAAAACAUGUAAAACGGGCACAAGAAAGGAGUAUUCUAAAAGUGACUCAUGUAAACACCAUAAUCACAUUAUUAUCUUAAUCAGAGUAAGGUCAAUAAUUAGAUUACUGCUGUCCAUGUAAACGUAGUCAGUGAAUGUUUGCACCUUUUUUGUGAUAGUUGUGUACAAGUCUCUCAGUUGUCCUCAGUGUGAAAAGACGGAUCUCAGCAUCAUAUAGUUGCUGUUGGAAAGGGGUCACAUAUGCAGAAGAUGCCGGAAAAGAAAAGAAUGUGCAGGACCUGGAGGAUUUUUCUGAAGAACAGUUACUUGAUGCUCGGUCUUGUUGUGUUGCUGGUCGUUAUGGAGAGCUUCUGGAAGCUUCAGCAAGUGCAGGCCUUGGUGCAUCUCUUUGUUGGGUCUACAGCAGCGUCACUAAAAGAAGAUGAUCUUGAGGAGCUAGUGCUAGGUGAAUGGCCAGACAGCCAUGAUAUUCCAACAGCGGCUGUUCAGUUUAGACCCCCUAUCUCCAUCAUCUCACAUCGCAUGUCUGAUUCACCAGCAUUCCCUUUUGUGGAGGAUGCAUGUACAUCAUUUACAGCAAAAGCGGCAACUUAUAAGAAGACCGUGUGUCCGCAACAUCAGCCAGACACUGAUCCAGACCCAGCUGAUCAAAACAACUGAUUACCAAAAUCAAAUGUCUUUAAACACGGUCACUAAAUUUAUAUUCACAAGAAAGAAGUGACAGAGCAAAUGUUUCUCGUUCCAGGGUUUUCAACCAAAGCCUUCCUGAUGCGCCACUGACACUUUGAUCAUCUCAAGGAUUUAUUUGAAUUGAAAAAUGUUGCACAGUGUUGCCAGUGUUUGAGAUUAUACAGGAAUUUCCUGUAUAAGGAAUUUUUCCUGGAAUUAAUUUUGUCUGCAUCAAGAUCAGUUCCCCAAAUUGUUAAAGAAAAUACUUUUCUUUGUACUUUAUUUUCCAUUUAUAGUUUCAAUCCCAUUAUGAGCACAAACAAUAGAGACCUUGACUAUGCGCUUCAAUACAUUAAUGUUAAAUUAACUGCAUUUUAUACAGAUGUUCAGAGUAAACUUGUAACAUGUUCCAGUAUUUUCUUUUAGUGUUUAGAGAAGUUCUGUAGUUAGUCAUUUCAGAACUUUGUCUUUGUGCUUAAGGCUGUAAGAGUUUAACUCCAGUACAUUAGAGGCAGCAAUGUGGCAUGAUUUAUUUUCUAUCCAACAAUCACUAAACAAUUGGUACAAAAUUGGUAGGCAGUUAAAGGCCCAAGCAAUGACGGGUUGUGAGACACCAAAACCACCUUAGCAAGCUUAGAAGCUUAGAGUGAAUAACAAUGGUUUAUAACAGCGGUUUAUACAAAGCUCAUAGACUCUGUGGUUUAUAAAAGCA